GAGACUAAAUAAAGAUAGAGUAUGGAUUCGAUGCUGUACAACUGUUUACAAAACUUGAGUAGUUUUGGGUGUUGUAAAUGGUUGGAUUGAUCAUGAGCAAAGUUUGUAUUUGAGCAUUCAAGUUGUAAUUUGCUCAGAUCCAUUACAUGCAUAGGGAAUACCCAAACCAUGACACAGAAUAAUGAGAAACCAGAGAUUCAUUCAAAAUACGCCAACGUGGUAAAACGAAAGACUAACCUUUUUAUUAGUUCCUGUUAGUUCCUGCCCCAGCAUGGAACUAUAGCGGAGGGGCUCGUCCUAAACAGUUAUUAAACUAAUGUUGAUUGGAUGAUACAGAGGCAGUUGUGGUUAUCAAUAUGAGAGAAGGCGCAACUUCCGAGGACAGGACUGGGUUUGCAAAACAUCAGCUCUCCAAAACCCCCAGAGAUCACCGCAGGUUACAGGUGACAAAUGAGUGGGGCGAACAGUUGGCUCUUAGGGAUUUAAUUCAUUUGCAUGUUGCUGAAAGGUGGAGGAUGCUGGUUAACUAGAGUGCAUAGAUUCGAGUGACAAUGGAGAUAAGCCAGUCACCAGAACGACUUCUAAUUCUGCCACGACCACUAUUAACAGACAUGCUAUAGAAAGCAGUCAUGUUCGCAAUUUUGGUCUGGACAAAGAAGAGGGCCAAGACGAUCAGCAUGUCAGUGUAACUGAAAGUGUUGUAGAGCUUUGUGAUGUUGAGAGUAAUAUAGCUGGAGGACGGAACAGUGCUCACCCGCUCCUGCACAGGCCUGUUCACCAUGUUAUGCUUAAGUUCAGUUCUUCUAUUCUACCCUACUAUUUAGAUUGUUAGUAUUUUUGUUUCAUGUUAAAUAGAUAUGAAAAAGUGCGUCCAUUUCAGUUGUCAGAUUGAGAAAAUAAAUAUUUAUAGUUUCUCCAUUUUAGAAGGAAGCUGAAAGGUCUCUUGCCUUGGAUGUGAAAUAGACUAAGAACAAAAAGCUUGCCCCUCUAAAACAAGCAACAUUAUUUGGAGCAACAAUGCAAGUAGAAGUGUAGCAAUGAACAUUCCAAGCACAACAUUUAACAGUGAUAGUAGACUCACAACCUGAACCAGGAUUUGAUAAGAAAUCUACAAUCAUCCGUCUUGACAAAUCUAAUAGAUGCAAUGGACCACUUUCAAUAUGUUUCGCAAAGUCUAUUUCUUCUGAUUUGUUUGAGAACAGAUAACGUUUAAAAUAUAUCCAGUCACACAAAGGUUUGGAUAAGCAAUCUUGUACUAAUCCAGAGUCUUUCCAUUCCAAUUGUAGGAUCAUUUUCAGAAUAUAGAAAGGAAUCUCAUUUUCCAACUUCCAAAUGUCAAGUAGAAUCUCUCGUCUUUUGAUUUUAUGUCUCUGAAGCCGGAAAAUAAGGCUAGAAUCGGGUAAGUCCAUUCAAUUCGAGAAUAAAGCAUGCAUACAUGACCAUCAUUCACGCAAGCAUAUCUUCAUUCCAUUCAACGGCUGAAUCUUCAUAGCAAACUCUGAUUUUCGUAUCUAGCUCUUUGACUUUUGCGACUAAACUGUCUAUGGUCAUGUGAGGGAUCCUUUCCAAGGUUUUCUUUACUACAUGGAGCUUAUAUUUGUCUGUUGUAGUCAGCUGCUAGUGUUUCUUGUGAUGAUAAUGUCUAAGAAAUACAACCAGAGGAUCAUAUGCUCCUCGUUUUGUUUUCUUUAUGGGUUCAGGCACCCAAUAUAUGGACACACAAGUAGACAUUUUUAGCUCUCUGUACUGUGAGUUUCGAUCAUUAUAUGCAUCUUUAACUUGAUCAAUCCAUGUUUUAGGUUCAAUGUUCGGAGGCCAUAUGAUAGUUCCUGGAUAUCAAACGAUGGGAUCAACUUCACUUAUCCAAGAAAACAUGUAACUGAACAAAUAAUCAGAGAUUUAACUAUAAAAGACAAUGAAGAAUAGUUUAACUAGACAAAUUAAAAAUAAGUAACAUAUGUUUUAUGAAUUAAAAAGUGAAUAUUAGAGAAACUGUAUAUAAUUUAAAUUUAAAAUUAGGAAAAUGUAAAUUAUCUAUAUAAUUGAAACUUGUGCAUAUAAAAAUUUAAAAUAACUGACCAGAAAUAUAAUUAAUCUAUUAAAAAAUUACCAACUAUAAAUUAUUCAUUUAAUUGAAAUCUAUACAGAUGCAUCAUCUUUACUCCAAGAAAGUCAAUCUUUGGAGGAUAUCCACUCCAAAUACUUUCGUUAAUUACAAGUAAAGAGUAAAGAUGAGAAAUCCAUUGGAAUUCUACAAUCCACAAUAUUUGCUUCUAUAUUUGAUCGAAGACUACAAGACAACUAUCAAAAUAUUUUUGAAUUUGAUUAUUUAAACUUUUUCCUUUACAAUCACUUACAAUUACUGUUUUCCUUUCUUAGUUAUCCAACAUCAAGAUAAGUUAUUGAAGAUCAUUAGAUUAUAAGGCCUUCAAGUUUUCCCUACUCAUUCUUGUUCCAAUACCAAUAUAUCCUCAUUUAUUUGGCCAAUCUAAUGCCAAUGUCAAAGUCGAUGAGAACCAUCUCAAUAUGGACCUACCACUCAGCUAAAAGUUGGAAAACUAGCAUAUAUAAUUUCACAAUUCUACAAUAAACAUUUCACUCCAACAACUCUAUUUAUAACUUUGUCCAUAAACAAAUUACACAAAAUUCUUGCAGUUUUGGCAGGAACUUAGCUGCCGUGCAGCCCUUGUUGUAUGUUGUAUAGGUUUCUGUAUCUUGUCUAUUUUUUUGAAUAGAGUUGAACCAGUUUUUGCUACAACACUAAUUUUUCUUAUGAGUUUUAUAUGGUUGUAAUUAUUUUGCUUGGUCUCAUAGAUUAGAGUUGGGUCAAUUUAUAUUAACAGUUGGUAUGUGUUGGACCAAUGAAAAACACAGCUUGUAUAUUAACUCCAUGGAGGAGGCCUUUGUCUCAAGCCUUUAUCAGCAUGGCAAUUAUACACAUCCCUGUAAAAGAUGGCAAGCAGAUAGAGGAGAAAUAGCCUCUGUGUUUAGCCUGGAUUUAAAUGAGGAAGUUGAAUCUGGUUUUUCCAAUGGUCAUGUACUGUUUGGAUUUCCUGAGGAGAGCCAGAGUGAAUGUGAAACAGAAAAGCCCAGCCUCUAUCAUGAUGUUCAAAACAAUUCAAACAAGUGUGGAUUGAAGGAGAUAUGCAGCAGUAACAACACGUUUCAGGAAAAAGGCAGAAAUGGUUGAUUCUUUCCCCUUGAACAGAUGAUUUUGUUGAGAUAUUGGUGGAUCUCAGUUAACUUUUUUCAUGGGGAGAAGAAAGAAGAGGAAGUCACAACAUGGAGAGAGGGAAAUAACAGACGUGUUCGAAGAAGUGCAGUCUAAAUAUAAUGAUGAACAUGCAAGAAAUUUCUAUGCAGGGCGAAAUCGGUUGACAGAAGAUACAACUGUUUCAGAAACUUCAGUGAAAACCUUGAGUGACAACCAAGAGGAUCAGGUGAUUCCAUUCAUGGAUUAGACAUCUCCCAAGGAAGAUGGGAAGUCAGAUAACACCUUCAGUUUUAAACUACAUAUUAAGCAACCUAUUAAGUCUAGAGAAUGUCAGUCAAUUUUGAGCAACAUAUUAAGUCUAGAGAAUGUCAGUCAAUUUUGAGUGAGUGUUAGUAUUUUUAAGCUUAAAAAUCAAAGCUUAGUGUGUGAGAUUUAAACCAUGAUUUCUAUUGUAAUUGACAAGUUGGAAAUAUUUUUAAUUAACUAAUUGAAUGAG